AUUGAACGCUAGCGGCAGGCCUAACACAUGCAAGUCGAACGAGUGGCGGACGGGUGAGUAAUGUCUGGGAACCUGCCUGAUGGCGGGGGAUAACUACUGGAAACGGUAGCUAAUACCGCAUACCAUCAGAUGUGCCCAGAUGGGAUUAGCUUGUUGGUGGGGUAACGGAUCACCAAGGCAACGCUCCCUAGCUGGUCUGAGAGGACGACCGGCCACAAUGGAACUGAGACACGGUCCAGACUCCUACGGAAGGCAGCAGUGGGGAAUAUUGCACAAUGGGCGCAAGCCUGAUUCAGCCAGGCCGCGUGUAUGAAGAAGGCCUUCGGGUUGGAAAGUACUUUUGGCAGGGAGGCGGUACCUGCAGAAGAAGCACCGGCUAACUCCGUGCCAGCAGCCGCGGUAAUUC
rnacentral:rRNA from 1 species